rnacentral:rRNA from 1 species
UGCCAGCCGCCGCGGUAAUACGGAGGGUGCGAGCGUUAAUCGGAAUUACUGGGCGUAAAGCGCGCGUAGGCGGCUUGGUAAGUUGGAUGUGAAAUCCCAGGGCUUAACCUUGGAACUGCAUUUGAUACUGCCAGGCUAGAGUAUGUUAGAGGAAAGCGGAAUUUCAAGUGUAGCGGUGAAAUGCGUAGAUAUUUGAAGGAACACCAGUGGCGAAGGCGACUUCCUGGGCCAAUACUGACGCUGAGGUGCGAAAGCGUGGGGAGCGAACAGGAUUAGAUA